UUGCCUUAAAAUUGGUAUGACUCCUCAAGGUGCUGGAGAGAAGACUUGUCAAGCUAACUGCUGGCAAAGUGAAGACAUGUUGGUAACAGUGAAAACAGCGAUGGUGAAGAGGAGAUGAGAUCAGCUACCAACUAUGACUAAGUCUUGUAGCUGUCAAGAGAUAAAAAUAGAGUAAUGUGUACAUGCCUAAAGUAAAAAUAAGGUACCAGUGUAUAUGACAAAGGUGAGUUGGUUCCACUGGCUGCUUUUCUCCAGGGUUAUCCUAUGUUAUAAGUUGAUGCAGAUGGUUAUUGAGCAGAUUGGGGCCAUUCAGCAACACCUAGCAGCAAUAUCUAGCAAUAUCUAGCAUCUGUUCACCUAGCAAUGUCAGAAUAAGGGGGCAGUUGCCUCUAAAAGCCACUUACAUACUAAUCCACUCAACUGUUUUCUGCUUGUACAUCUGGGGAUGAGGCAGGAUCAGACUCUA